rfam:Strongyloides papillosus strain LIN genome assembly, scaffold: SPAL_contig0000085
CCAAAGGCCCUCUUUAGGGCCACCAAAAAUACCUUUACUUUAUUCU